rnacentral:rRNA from 1 species
AGUGAACGCUGGCGGUAGGCCUAACACAUGCAAGUCGAACGGCAGCACAGUAAGAGCUUGCUCUUACGGGUGGCGAGUGGCGGACGGGUGAGGAAUACAUCGGAAUCUACUUUUUCGUGGGGGAUAACGUAGGGAAACUUACGCUAAUACCGCAUACGACCUACGUGUGAAAGCAGGGGAUCUUCGGACCUUGCGCGAUUGAAUGAGCCGAUGUCGGAUUAGCUAGUUGGCGGGGUAAAGGCCCACCAAGGCGACGAUCCGUAGCUGGUCUGAGAGGAUGAUCAGCCCCACUGGAACUGAGACACGGUCCUGACUCCUACGGGAGGCAGCAGUGGGGAAUAUUGGACAAUGGGCGCAAGCCUGAUCCAGCCAUACCGCGUGGGUGAAGAAGGCCUUCGGGUUGUAAAGCCCUUUUGUUGGGAAAGAAAAGCAGCAGGUUAAUACCCCGCUGUUCUGACGGUACCCAAAGAAUAAGCACCGGCUAACUUCGUG